rnacentral:misc_RNA from 1 species
UUAGCUCUAGCUAGCCAGCAU